GGGUUCAAGGAGAACAAGUUUGUUUGGUUUAAGGUCGCUGAAUUACUUUCUUUAUCAAUCUGUGUCGCAGUUUGUUUUUCUCCAUCUAAAGCCCAGAGCCGUGCAGAGACCAGACUCUGAAGAACUCAGUAUGUCUGAUGACUUACUGAGGGACUUCAGGUUACAACUCUUGUUUAAGGAGCCCAACUCGACCUUCUCCCAACUGAAGAUAGAUGGCGCUGAAGCAGCAGAUGAUGAUAAUGAGUCAGGAUACUUAUCUGUCAUUCACUUUCUCAGAGAUGACGAC